GCUGCUCUGAUUUGCAUAUUGCACCACAUGUGUUUUUCUUUGAAACAAACUUGCUUUGGCGGUGGGCCCAGCCUGCCGCCAGAGGUCUAAACUUACAACCAAUUUUUUAUCAACUUGUCACACCAGAUUAUUACUAAUAGUCAAAACUUUCAACAACGGAUCUCUUGGUUCUCGCAUCGAUGAAGAACGCAGCGAAAUGCGAUACGUAAUAUGAAUUGCAGAUAUUCGUGAAUCAUCGAAUCUUUGAACGCACAUUGCGCCCUCUGGUAUUCCGGAGGGCAUGCCUGUUUGAGCGUCGUUUCUCCCUCAAACCGCUGGGUUUGGUGUUGAGCAAUACGACUUGGGUUUGCUUGAAAGACGGUAGUGGUAAGGCGGGAUCGCUUUGACAAUGGCUUAGGUCUAACCAAAAACAUUGCUUGCGGCGGUAACGUCCACCACGUAUAUCUUCAAACUUUGACCUCAAAUCAGGUAGGACUACCCGCUGAACUUAAGCAUAUCAAUAAGUCGGAGGAA
rnacentral:rRNA from 1 species